GGAUCCUUAGCUCAUCGGUCAGAGCAGGCAACUCAUAAUUGCUUGGCACGGAGUUCGAUUCUCCGAGGAUCCACCA
rnacentral:tRNA from 1 species